AGUUUAUUUGUGUAUGUUGUCGUCGAUGUUUAGCCGCAGCAUUUUACAAAUAAAAUAGCAAUUAUAACAGAAAUCUGCUCACAUGUGCAAUAAUCUAGGAAGACUCUACACACCAGAAGUAAUAUAUAACAUAAAUUGAAGAAUGGAAAGAGGGAAAAUGCCGUCAGCUGGGCGAGGAGCGAAGAGUAAGGCUCCGCAGCACCCUCAGGAUAUCUUUGCGCUGGGCAGCAAGUCUACCGUGGUGGUCUCCAGGGACCCUGAAAAGAGGAAUAUCCACAAACCUUCCUCUAGUGGUGUAGAACGUAAGAGAGAGACCUCAGGGUUUGGCAGCCAGCCCCCCAGUAAGAGGGCUAGGAUUGGCUCACCUGCGGAGGCAGUUGGAGGAACAUCCCUAGAAGUAGACCCAGUAGAUCUGGUGCCAAAUGUCCUGCAGGCUUUGGAUACACAUAAUUCUGAUAAACUGCUGGGCCUCCUCACAGGCUCAAUACGUCUCCUCAAAUCGCAACGUUCAAAACCGGACCCCAUACUCUGCAUGAGCCUACUCUACUUAACAAAGAUACGUCCCAACAUGUUCGCCCACGAGACUGUAACGCAGAGUCUUUGUACGUUACUCAAGAGGGAGCAGGGUGCUGCCUUCAAGAAUAAGGGAAACCCACUGGUGUAUAUACUGGCUUGUAAUAUGCUGUAUGCUGGGCACAGAGAGAGUAAUAACUGGCCUGAUAUAUUUAUUAAGGUAUACAUAGAAGAUGCUCUGAAUGAGCGUUGUUGGGUGGAGUGCUCCUGGUGCAAGUGCUUUGUGGAGAAUGUGGUGACAGCCUUCAGCACCAAACAGCCACCUUCACAUCUUAUUCCUACUGACAAUACACUAGGUACAAUGUCACCAUCAGGAUCUGGUUCUCCUCUGAUGGGGAGCACAGAAGAAGACACAGAUAAUAUGGAGCUGGAUUACUCUGUUUUUCCUAGGUAUUCCAGUAGUUAUGAGGCUGUAGAAGCCUUGGUGUUGGAAGCCAUCAAAGAACAGAUACAAAGGCGAUCAGCCGCCCCCGACGCUAUCGGCAAAGGAUUCCUCAAACUGCUGUCUGCUACUUGCGGCUUCCCUGAGAUCCGCAUGAUAUCAGCGUCCCGCUUAGAAGCAUGGCUGCACUCGGGCAAGCUGUGGCGCUGUGCCCAAGAGUUGUUGGCAUACGUGUGCUGCAACUGCGAUGCGUGCGGGCCCACCGCCGCCCGCGACCACGAGGUGCUGGCCCAGCUCGCCCGCAUGCGCCUCAAGACCAAGCCGCUGCAGGCUGCCUACCAGGCCUGCUUGAGAGAGAUGGUGUCAGACAGCCCGCCACUGCUGCGCAGCGUGGUGACGCACACGAUCUACAACGAGCUGUCCAACGUGCGCUCGCCCAACAACAUGGCGGUGCUGGCCGCGCUCAUACAGGCGCAGCCGCAGCAGGUGCCUGCCGCCAUGGCUGAUACUUACCAGGAGCUAGUACUACGUCCGGAAGACUACCUGCGUCCUCUCCGCGCUCUAACGCGCGAGGUGGUGCGGGCGGCCCGCGCGGACGCGCAGGCGCUGCUGCCGCUCGCACGUGCGCUCGCGCAGCCGCCGCCGCACGAGCCGCCGCAAGAGGUCCGCGAACGCGCCUUCUCAUCCCUAGCCGACCUGUUCUGCUGCUGCUGCCUAGUCACAGCUUCCCACAGCAAGCACCUGGCCGAGUACCGGCAGCAAGUCUGCGUCAUCCAGGCGGCAGCCCUGGGCUGGUUGCUGGACACCGCCAUGCCUGUCUACCGGCCCAGUCGACAUGAUUACCAGCUGGCUCUCAAUAAGGUGAUGUUCGUGGAGCCAGCAGAGACUUACAGCAAGGUGGACAACUGGCCGCCGGAGUCUGAGCGGGCGGUCACGUACCGGCUGUGCUGCGAGGCGCCGCUGCCGCAGAACACGCUGCUGCGAGUCAUCUUCAUCGGCCUGUCCAAGGAUAUACCAGUAUCUCCAGCGGAGGUGUUCGAGCUGGUGGAACAGCUGGUCCGUCGCGCAUGCGCCCUGCCUGCUGAAGAAAACCCACUGCAGGUGGACAAGUUGGAGAUCGCUGACUACAUCUUCCAGCUGUGCCAGUUUAACCCACCAGAUAAUAUUACUCUGCCUGCUGGCUACACUCCGCCAGCGCUGGGCAUCACGUCGCUGUACUGGCGCGGCUGGCUGCUGCUGACGAUGCUGGCGGCGCACAACCCCAGCCAGUUCGCCGAGCGAGCCGCCGCGCUCUACCCCACGCUCAGGGCGCUCAUCGAGCUCUGUAUCACCAAGUAUGUCUCUAGCUACACCCCCAGCCAGUUCGCCGAGCGAGCCGCCGCGCUCUACCCCACGCUCAGGGCGCUCAUCGAGCUCUGUAUCACCAAGUAUGUCUCUAGCUACACCCCCAGCCAGUUCGCCGAGCGAGCCGCCGCGCUCUACCCCACGCUCAGGGCGCUCAUCGAGCUCUGUAUCACCAACAAGCCGAGCAUAGAAUGGAACACCAGCUCAGCAGCUGAAGCUGAGCGUGCAGAAGCUGAGCGGGCUGCUAUCCUACAGUUGGAGACGCACCUGGCCGCCGCUAGUAAUGCCAAGCUGCCUGUUACUGAACACUCUUCGCGGCUGCUUAGUCAGCUCACAACCCUGGAACCUCUCGGCCCAGCUCGGAAGCCACCCCAAGCGAUCAUCGAGACCCUGCAGGCGAUGAGCUCUCAGAUGCGGCUGGGCAAGCUGCUGUGCCGGCAGCCCGCGCUGCUGCUGGAGCUGGUGGAGCGGCACGGCACCCGGCGCGCCAUGCCCUGGCUGCACCAGCUGCUGAGACAUGACCAGCUGGAGCUCAGCGUCCUCCCAGUGCAAUGUCUAUGCGAGUUCCUAUCCGCGGGCGGGGCGGGCGGCGAGGUGGGCAAGGCGGGCGAGCUGUGCGCGCACCUGCGCCGCACCGUGGCCGAGUCGGAGGAGGGCGCCCGCGCAGUCCUGCACUACUACAUGCAGAGGCUCGCGCAUACACAUGCGCCGACACGAGCUACUGCUAGCAGGGGACUGAAACUCGUCCUGCAAUCGUCGGAAGAUACAUCGGAAACGGAUUACAACGCUGAAGUUAGCCCCGAGGAAUGGCUAGACCUACUAUGGGAUCUCCCUCACUGGGAGUCAGUCCGCGAGGAGGUGGUGUGCCGCAUCCGCGCCGCGUGCAUCGUGGAGUGCGUGCCGCGCCACGUGGCCGCCUACAUCGCGUUCCUCGCCGCCUACGUCAGCCGCACUCCCGCAGUCGACCAUACUGAUCUAGUGCUGGAUCUAAGCCAAGUCCUGAUGGAGCGGGCCACAGUGAUGGGCAGCGUGGUCGGCACGGGCGACCGCCCCGACGAGCCCACCGAGCCUCAACAUGCUCAGCACAGAGCGCUCUACUCCGUCACCAAGAUACUGUAUGAGUAUCUGCAGAAGGUACGCACGUCAGACGCGGCGGCCCCGCCCACUCCCACGGAGCCGGCGGCCGGCAGUAGCGCUUGGGCAUUCGGCGAGCGCGUGCUGGUGCAGUGGCCUAGUGGCAAGACUGCGAGGAUACACCUCGUGUUGGCACAUGCGUAUUUGAAGCUGCUGUGUCUUGGACCUUCUAUAUACGACACAAACCAAGAGAUGUACUCCUGGUUAAUGUCAGUGUGGGUGGGUAACGACGCUCCGCAAGCCUUCACCCUGGACACGCAGGAGGAAGCCCUGCUGCUGCCGGACUGGCUGCGCCUGCACAUGGUGCGGUCCGCGCGGUCGCCUCUGCUGGAGUCGGGCAUGAGAGCCAUGACGGCGCCCAAGCUGGCGCUCUUCAUACAGACUUUUGGCAUGCCUGUCACAGCAAUGAGUUCGUUGCUAUGCGCUCUGGACGCGUGCCCGGCGGGCGCGGUGGUGCGGCUGGGCGUGGAGCGCGCCUACAUGGCGCAGCUGCUGGCCGUGCAGCGUGCUCGCGGCGCUGUCGGCGGGGACGCCUUCGCUGCCGCGCUGCGUCUCGCGCUGCCCGCUUACCCGCCCGACGACACGCUUUUCGUCAAAGAGGAAUUACCCGAGGAGCCAGCAGAUGAGUGGGGCAGCAGCGUGGUGCGAGCGCCGCUUCAGCCGGAGCUGGUGGCGCCGCUGCUCAGCACCGUCUUCACCGGCGCCAACACCUUCGCCGGAGAUGUUGAUUCCGCAUUCACUGAACUUAUAUCGCUUAUAACCGAAUCGAUAGCAUCAGGAGCGACGCUAUCGAACACUGGGUACGUGGGGCGUACAUUGUCUUGGCUGCGCUCCCUGGCCAGCAGCGCGGGCGGCGCCGCCGGGCUGGUGCGGCGCCCCGCACACGCCGCGCCGCUGCUGCGGGCGCUGCUGCCGCUGCCGGGGGCUGCUACACUGCAGAUCGCAGACACGCUACUCAUGCAGUGCAAGCUACAAGCAGGCCCAGUGCUUGACGUGCUACGUGCCAUGAUGCAGGGCGGCACUGCCAAGCGGGAUCGUGACGUGCCGGUACCACCUGCAGCUACCAGGCAGCAGCUUAUUGCAGCCUUGGAGACAUCAUCCCCCAGCACCCUGGAAGCUCUCGGCAACCGCAUCAUCUCGAGCCAGGACACUCGGGUCAUUGUGGAUGUCAUCACGCACAUACUCGAGAAGAACCAGGAGGGGCACUACGAGUCGAAGAUUAAACACGAAGACGGCACAUCGGGUCCGGCGCACGUGUUCUCCCGCGGCGGGCUGGGCGUGGGGCUGCUGCUGGACUGGAUGUCCGAGCUGCAGCGCGAGGCGCUCGGGCCCAGCGACCAGCGCCAGAGACAGAUGCAGCUGAUGUUCAGGUCGGGCUGCGCGGCGUGGCGGCCGCUGCUGGUGACGCUGCUGGCACACCGCGCCUCCUGGCGGACCCUGCACUACUGCCUCACCACGCUGCUGCAGCCCGAGGGUGGUUGGUCUCCUACUGCAGUGCUGGACUUCGCGACCACCCUGACGGAGAGCCCCCGCGUGUGGCAGGGCCGCGACAAGACCACGCCCAAGCACCACGUGCCCACUGACACGCUGCGGCUUGAUCAUCAUCAGCUGGGAGUGUUAGUCCGCUACGUGGCUGAGGAAGCAAGGCAAGUGGAAGCACAAGACGGGCCGGAGGCAGCUCGGCGGCGCGUGGACGGGCGCCUGGCGCUGCUGCUGCGCUGUGCGCCGCACCAGCACAGCUUGCUGGCGGUGGCGGCGGCGGCUGAGCAGCAUGACCCCUUGCUGUUGCUGCUGCUGUACAUGAAGGUACCAAAAAUCCUGCCGCUGCUCCUACAAUCCGGCCACCGCAACCGUCCGCCGCAGUUACUAGCGUGCCGCGCGUCGCUGCGCGCUGCGGCGGCAUCGUCCACUAGUGCGACGGACAGAGUGUCGCAUGCGUUGCUGACGGCUAUUGCGGCGCCGCAUCCACAUAGCAAGGAGCAUACGCACAAACUAUGGCGCAUGGAAUCCGACGUGCGCUCGGUAUGGGCGCGGGUGGCGGGCGCCGGCGCCCGGGCGCUGGGGCUGGCGGCGGCGCUGCUGCGCGGGGCCCAGCCUGCUGCUGCGCGGCACCAUGCGCACGUGCUGGCCGCGCUCGAGGUGCUGCCCGAUGCUGAGUUGUUCCAUGCUGAUAACACUGCGGAGCUCCACAGCAUCCUCGAGUGCUUCCUGUCACUAGCACGUGCACAGGCGGGCGGAGUCCUACUGCACCGCGUGGGUGCACUACUACGGAGGUACCUCGCCUGCCGUCCACAACUCGCCGGGGCUCUGCUGCACGCACAUAAAGAUACUAUUGCCAACACGCCGGCGCUAUCGUCGCUGCAGGCGGCGGACGUGUCGGCGCCCGCGUCGGCCGCGCCGCCGCCGCUGGCGCUGCAGGCGCUGCAGAGGCGCUACGACGAGCCCGACAACCUGCACUGGCUGCUGCAGGUAAGCUAGCUCCCCAGCAACACGCCGGCGCUGCAGGCGCUGCAGAGGCGCUACGACGAGCCCGACAACCUGCACUGGCUGCUGCAGGUAAGCUAGCUCCCCAGCAACACGCCGGCGCUGCAGGCGCUGCAGAGGCGCUACGACGAGCCCGACAACCUGCACUGGCUGCUGCAGGUAAGCUAGCUCCCCAGCAACACGCCGGCGCUGCAGGCGCUGCAGAGGCGCUACGACGAGCCCGACAACCUGCACUGGCUGCUGCAGGUAAGCUAGCUCCCCAGCAACACGCCGGCGCUGCAGGCGCUGCAGAGGCGCUACGACGAGCCCGACAACCUGCACUGGCUGCUGCAGGUAAGCUAGCUCCCCAGCAACACGCCGGCGCUGCAGGCGCUGCAGAGGCGCUACGACGAGCCCGACAACCUGCACUGGCUGCUGCAGGUAAGCUAGCUCCCCAGCAACACGCCGGCGCUGCAGGCGCUGCAGAGGCGCUACGACGAGCCCGACAACCUGCACUGGCUGCUGCAGGUAAGCUAGCUCCCCAGCAACACGCCGGCGCUGCAGGCGCUGCAGAGGCGCUACGACGAGCCCGACAACCUGCACUGGCUGCUGCAGGUAAGCUAGCUCCCCAGCAACACGCCGGCGCUGCAGGCGCUGCAGAGGCGCUACGACGAGCCCGACAACCUGCACUGGCUGCUGCAGGUAAGCUAGCUCCCCAGCAACACGCCGGCGCUGCAGGCGCUGCAGAGGCGCUACGACGAGCCCGACAACCUGCACUGGCUGCUGCAGGUAAGCUAGCUCCCCAGCAACACGCCGGCGCUGCAGGCGCUGCAGAGGCGCUACGACGAGCCCGACAACCUGCACUGGCUGCUGCAGGUAAGCUAGCUCCCCAGCAACACGCCGGCGCUGCAGGCGCUGCAGAGGCGCUACGACGAGCCCGACAACCUGCACUGGCUGCUGCAGGUAAGCUAGCUCCCCAGCAACACGCCGGCGCUGCAGGCGCUGCAGAGGCGCUACGACGAGCCCGACAACCUGCACUGGCUGCUGCAGGUAAGCUAGCUCCCCAGCAACACGCCGGCGCUGCAGGCGCUGCAGAGGCGCUACGACGAGCCCGACAACCUGCACUGGCUGCUGCAGGUAAGCUAGCUCCCCAGCAACACGCCGGCGCUGCAGGCGCUGCAGAGGCGCUACGACGAGCCCGACAACCUGCACUGGCUGCUGCAGGUAAGCUAGCUCCCCAGCAACACGCCGGCGCUGCAGGCGCUGCAGAGGCGCUACGACGAGCCCGACAACCUGCACUGGCUGCUGCAGGUAAGCUAGCUCCCCAGCAACACGCCGGCGCUGCAGGCGCUGCAGAGGCGCUACGACGAGCCCGACAACCUGCACUGGCUGCUGCAGGUAAGCUAGCUCCCCAGCAACACGCCGGCGCUGCAGGCGCUGCAGAGGCGCUACGACGAGCCCGACAACCUGCACUGGCUGCUGCAGGAAAUCGAAGCAUGGGGUUCUCGUCGCGGCGGCGCGUGGGGCGGCUCGGGCUGCGCGGGCACGCUGCUGCGCGCGGCGGCCCCGCACGCCGCCGCUGCGCACGCGCCGCUCAGG